UACGAAGGGGGCUAGCGUUGCUCGGAAUCACUGGGCGUAAAGCGCACGUAGGCGGACUCUUAAGUCGGUGGUGAAAUCCUGGAGCUCAACUCCAGAACUGCCUUCGAUACUGAGAGUCUCGAGUCCGGGGAGAGGUGAGUGGAACUGCGAGUGUAGAGGUGAAAUUCGUAGAUAUCGGGAGGAACACCUGUGGCGAAAGCGGCUCACUGGACCAUUACUGACGCUGAUGCUCGAAAGCUAGGGGAGCAAACAGG
rnacentral:rRNA from 1 species